UACGAAGGGGGGCUAGCGUUGUUCGGAUUUACUGGGCGUAAAGCGCACGUAGGCGGCUUUUUAAGUCAGUGGUGAAAGACAACAGCUCAACUGUUGCAGUGCCAUUGAUACUGAAGAGCUUGAGUACAGAUGAGGUAGGCGGAAUUUAUGGUGUAGCGGUGAAAUGCAUAGAUACCAUAAAGAACACCUAUUGCGAAAGGCAGCUUACUAAGCUGUAACUGACGCUGAGGCACGAAAAGUGUGGGGAUCAAACAGG
rnacentral:rRNA from 1 species